rnacentral:rRNA from 1 species
AGCAGCCGCGGUAAUUCCAGCUCCAAUAGCGUAUAUUAAAGUUGCUGCAGUUAAAAAGCUCGUAGUUGAAUUUCGGGACCAUCAUGUCGGUCGUGCCUAGGUACGUACUGGCAUUGUUGGUUUCUCCCUUCUGACGAACCAUGAUGUCAUUUAUUUGGUGUUGUGGGGAAUCAGGACUGUUACUUUAGAAAAAUUAGAGUGUUUAAAGCAGGCUUUAGCUUGAAUACAUUAGCAUGGAAUAAUGAAAUAGGACGUUCGAACCUAUUUUGUUGGUUUCUAGGAUCAACGUAAUGAUUAAUAGGGAUAGUUGGGGGCAUUAGUAUUCAAUUGUCAGAGGUGAAAUUCUUGGAUUUAUUGAAGACUAACUACUGCGAAAGCAUUUGCCAAGGAUGUUUUCAUUAAUCAAGACGAAAGUAGGGGAUCGAAGACGAUCAGAUA